AUGAUCACAUUAUUAACAAAGACUGGACAAACAACAUUCUGAGAAACUCUACUGGCGCAACCAGCAAGCCAUACACACGGUGAUCAGCCUCUGCAAUAGAAACACAUGGUGCCCGCAUGCCUCGGUUUGUACAUGAAAACAUAUGAAAUAUUAAAAAGCAGAGAAGCAAGAUCUGUAGUGUUCCCAUCAACCAUUGAAAGAUUCAAUUAGGAAUGAAUUAGUUACUUUUACACACAGCAAAGAAUGAAAGCUUAAAAAACCAUCAAAACAUAUUCAUUCAAAUCAGCAGCAAUGUGAAAUUACAACUACCAUCAUAUUUUUAGAAACAAAUCUUGCAAACAAAGUAGGAUAAUUACCACAAUCUUCUAGGAAUUCAUGGUCCCACCUAGCUAGUCUCAACAAACGCCAAAAGUUGGUGAUCCCAUAAAUGUAUUAAGUGAUUGUCUUAAAGUUUGGACCAGACUCACACAAUUAUCCCUGCAAAAAUUGGACAGACUGAAAUUACUAAUACUUUGUACUUGCACAAAACAGAAAGGUAUAUAGUCAGAAAGUAGUCAAGUAAAAAACCCUCUCCAUCCCAACUACUUCAUGGCAAUAUUAAAUGAGACAGAUUCCCUAGCCAAAUUUAUAAUGGUAAUACAUAGUUCAGAGAUUGAAUAAUAUCCCUAGUAGUAAACUGAACUAUAGAAGGUGCUACAGCUAGCCAUCUUUGCUGUAACAACACGAUGAUAUUCCUAAGAAACUAUCAUCUGCGUUGGUACUUUCUCAGGUUUAGGAUAUCCAUUCCUUACAUGGCAAUGCAACCCAACAUGAUAUCCUUUAUGCUUAUGGUUAAUACGAAAGAUUUAGUAAAA
rnacentral:lncRNA from 1 species